rnacentral:rRNA from 1 species
UUUACAACUCCCAAACCCCUGUGAACAUACCUAUACGUUGCCUCGGCGGAUCAGCCCGCGCCCUGUAAAAAGGGACGGCCCGCCCGAGGACCCUAAACUCUGUUUUUAGUGGAACUUCUGAGUAAAACAAACAAAUAAAUCAAAACUUUCAACAACGGAUCUCUUGGUUCUGGCAUCGAUGAAGAACGCAGCAAAAUGCGAUAAGUAAUGUGAAUUGCAGAAUUCAGUGAAUCAUCGAAUCUUUGAACGCACAUUGCGCCCGCCAGUAUUCUGGCGGGCAUGCCUGUUCGAGCGUCAUUUCAACCCUCAAGCUCAGCUUGGUGUUGGGACUCGCGGUAACCCGCGUUCCCCAAAUCGAUUGGCGGUCACGUCGAGCUUCCAUAGCGUAGUAAUCAUACACCUCGUUACUGGUAAUCGUCGCGGCCACGCCGUAAAACCCCAACUUCUGAAUGUUGACCUCGGAUCAGGUAGGAAUACCCGCUGAACUUAAGCAUAUCA